GCCUUCGUGGUGUAGUGGUUUUGCACGCUGGGCUGAUAUUCCAAAGGUCCGUGGUUCGAUUCCCGGCGAAGGCG
rnacentral:tRNA from 1 species